AAUAAGCUCUAUGACUCUAUGACUCUACUAAACAAAACACGCCGUGAGGCAACAUUUAAAAGACAUUCACAAGUGCAAGACCUUUAAUCAAACACCCAAAUGCAACAAGCAAACAAAAACGAAGUCAAACUCCUCACCUGCUCCCGUAGUUUCCUGCGCCACCGCGGCUUUACAUUAACACGCAAAAUACAAUACCAUAGAGAGAAGGUGCACGGCGAAAACUAUAAAAGAAACGCGCAAAAGAGUCGGCUAAAGUGAUCCUGUAACCACUGGGGCUCUGCGUUUUCAUGACGUCAUGGGCUGUCCAACGAAAGGCAGGUACUAAAGAAUUUGACAAACACACUUCCUCGAGCCCCCGCCGAUUUUAUAUUCUUGAGGGUUCAUUGACAGCCCAAAAAAGUUUGAAUCAGUUUCUUAAGUGCAAGUUAAAGUUGUAUUUCUGAGAUGGUCGCAGUGCUGCAGGUGGCACCGGAGGUAGAUUUGGAGAUCUUCAGGAAGCCUGAAUAAGGUGUGAUUUGAGAUAGUUGCAGACUGGACCGGUGGGAAUUGUGCGCGGGACAGGGGCAGAUGAGAAGAUGGAUUCUUGCCUAAUAUUGCGAGUGACACUUUUCGGAAUGGUGUUGCUGGGACUUGUUACUCCGGCACAAACUAAAGCGGGGUGUGUUUGCAGAGAGAAAUCAGGGUGCAACUGUGAAGGAAUCAAAGGACAAAAGGGUGAGAUGGGGUUACCUGGCUAUCCUGGUGAAAAAGGAAUUCAGGGGCAUCGAGGAAAAGAAGGACCUUCUGGAAUUCCCGGUGAAAAUGGAAAUAUUGGAUUUCCAGGCAUGCCUGGACCUAAAGGUUCUAGGGGAGUUUCAGGGACACCAGGAUACUCUGGCCCACCAGGACUACCGGUAAGUUUUGACAUAUUUUAGAGAACAUUUUUAGAAAAUAUUUUAGUUAUUUUGCUUUUAAUAACU
ensembl:lncRNA